AGGCCAUAGUGUGGACAAGCUCUUCAUAGUUCAUUAUAUCUUUCCCAAGCUUCAAAAAGUGAUUCACCCUGAUUUUGAGUGAAUUUGGUAAUUUGGUUUCGAAGGAC